AAUAUUGGACAAUGGGGGCAACCCUGAUCCAGCCAUGCCGCGUGUGUGAAGAAGGUCUUCGGAUUGUAAAGCACUUUAAGUUGGGAGGAAGGGCUUUAGGCUAAUACCCUGAAGUUUUGACGUUACCAACAGAAUAAGCACCGGCUAACUCGUUGCCAGCAGCCGCGGUAAUACAGAGGGUGCAAGCGUUAAUUGGAAUUACUGGGCGUAAAGCGCGAGUAGGCAGAUCAGUACAGUGGAUGUGAAAGCACCGGGCUUAAACUGGGAACUGCUUUCAUAACUGAUGAGCUAGAGUACGGUAGAGGGUAGUGAAAGUUCCUGUGUAGCGGUGAAAUGCGUAGAUAUAGGAAGGAACACCAGUGGCGAAGGCGACUACCUGGACUGAUACUGAAACUGAGGUGCGAAACCGUGGGGAGCCAAC
rnacentral:rRNA from 1 species